UACGUAGGGUGCAAGCGUUAAUCGGAAUUACUGGGCGUAAAGCGUGCGCAGGCGGCUUUGCAAGACAGAUGUGAAAUCCCCGGGCUUAACCUGGGAACUGCAUUUGUGACUGCAGGGCUGGAGUGCGGCAGAGGGGGGAUGGAAUUCCGCGUGUAGCAGUGAAAUGCGUAGAUAUCUGGAGGAACACCGAUGGCGAAGGCAGCCUCCUGGGCUAGUACUGACGCUCAUGCACGAAAGCGUGGGGAGCAAACAGG
rnacentral:rRNA from 1 species